rnacentral:rRNA from 1 species
GAGGCCCUACGGGACGCAGCAGUGAGGAAUAUUGGUCAAUGGGCGCAAGCCUGAACCAGCCAAGUCGCGUGAGGGAAGACGGCCCUACGGGUUGUAAACCUCUUUUGCCGGGGAGCAAGCCUGAGCACGUGUGCCCAGGCGGAGAGUACCCGGAGAAAAAGCAUCGGCUAACUCCGUGCCAGCAGCCGCGGUAAUACGGAGGAUGCGAGCGUUAUCCGGCUUUAUUGGGUUUAAAGGGUGCGUAGGCGGAGUAUCAAGUCAGCGGUAAAAAUUCGGGGCUCACCCCCGUGGUGCCGUUGAAACUG